UUAACCUAAUCGGGUCAAACCCAACUGAAUCCAAUUCAAUUGGACUUGAUUCAAAAAUAAUUACUCAAUCAAAUUGAGUUAAUUAGUGAUCAAAUCACUAAUUAAACCUCUCAUAAAUACUGAGUCCAAAUUCGAUGGACAAUCGGGCAUCAGAAUUCAUCGAUAUGUAAUCCUGAUCGAAAAGUCCCAACCAGUGGGACUCUUGACCCUGGUACCCAUAAUGUGUGGAACUCAUGAUCANNNNNN
rnacentral:lncRNA from 1 species